AGAGUAUAGCUCAGUGGUAGAGUGCAUGCUUAGCAUGCACAAAGUCUUGGGUUCAAUCCCCAGUACCUCUA
rnacentral:tRNA from 1 species